GACGGGAACAGCUUCUCGCGAGAGAAGGCGGGAGGCGGCGCGCGGGGCGACCGUGAGGGAAAGAGGGGGCGAGGCCUUCCCGUUCCUUCUCCCAUUCCUUGCCCCGCUCCAACUUCCUUCCCAUUUCCUGCCCCUUCCCGCCUGCCUCAGCCCGGCCGCACGGCAGCGCCGACGAGCCGUUCUCCGAGCGGCGCUGGAGGCCACGGGCUCUUCCCUGCGGGGCGGUGCCCUGUGGUCACUUGCGGGUCCCUCUAGCGUAGCAGAGCUUUGUGUUCCUGAGGGACAGCGCUGCCACUCCCCACACACAGAGCCGGGAGUGGCGAGUCCUGGGGCGGCCGCUCGCUGCUGCUCGGCGGGGCCGGUGUCGCAGCGAGUGACCCGGUUUGUGAGGCGAAGCCUCGCACGGGCAUUGAGAGCCUGAGUGGUUGUUGAGGAAAUCCAUCCUUCGCAUUUCAUCCUGUUUCGUCAGCAUCCCCCCGGCGUCCCCUGGCUGUGCGUGCGCUCACGCAAGGUUAGUCCUCGCUAACCUGUCUCUGUACAACCGAGUCCCUGAUGUUCUGUACUGUACAAACCAUAAGAGUGUGGAUUUUAAAAAACAUCAGUUUUGUAUUCAUGAUUUAUAGUUAACUCUCAAAAUAAUGAGUAAAGAACCCACCCCAGCAACGGUUCUUUGCAGCAAAAUAAUUUAAAAGUAGCCUAUCUCCAAAGGCAGGACUGAGACACCUGUGAGCUUGGUGUGCAGAGGGCACAAACUGCUGGGCUAAUGGCAAACAGAGUUAGCUUAGGUUUCAAAGUUUACUGUGUGGCGUGUUGACUCUAUUUGGGAAGAAAACAAAAAAAAGACACUGUUACCUCAUAGCUGGCUGAUAAAUACAUCUCCCUUACAAGCAAGUAAACAUUUGGAAAGAUCAAAGUGACUCAUACCAUUUCUGUAGGAUAAGUGAGAAGAAAACUAUUUGAAAGCUGUUCCAUUUCUCAUGACAGAAGUGAGUACAGAAUAAGGCGGUGUGAAUUGCUUCUGUCUCUGUGCAAGAACGAUGAAGCAGAGAGGUACCAAUGAGACACCUCCCUGAUACCAACAAGGAAUAAAUGCUUCCAGUUGUGUGGUGUUUCCUGCAAAAUGGACAAGGCUGCAACCUGGUGCUGUCCCGACUCCCAGCGCAUUUCAGGUGGCAGGAUAACAUAACCAGGGUGAGAAAAGCUCUCUGAAAACACUACAGCUGCUGAUAAUGGAAGCUAUUCUGAAGUGUUAAGAAAAUAAAGUAGCAAAAGCUGGAGUCCAGCUGGUCUCCUUCUGAUUCACACAGGCUGAAGAAAGACUGAAGUAUGCAACAUCUACACCAAAACUGAAGUUUUGAACCUAUCUAGAAAACAGUGGAAAGAGGCCUAAUUUCCUGUAGGAGGGGCACAGCAAAGAAAGAGGGUUUGUGAUUGUCCAUCCUUGCCUGAAGAACCCGAGGGGUACGGGAUUUGGCACACAGUCAGGGCCUGAGAGGCAGUAACAGCAGACGGAUCACCUCGGCUGUGUGGCAGUUGCCUUGUCCUUGUUUGCAAUGAGAGCCUUGUGGUGCAAGGAUAGAAUGUUCCUGUCAAUCCAGCAGAUGUUCCAGCGUGUCCUCCAUUUGAUUAGGCCUAGGAACACUAUUUUCCCCCCACAUCCAUAAAUUACUUAUUCCCAUGAAGCAUGACUUCUGUUUUUUAUCACUUAUGUAAACCGUAGUAGAUACAGCCAUGAUAAAUAUUUUAAUAAAUAGGCAUUGUACCAAGCUGCUGAAAACGUGCAGGGCUGAAAGUGUGGGCUGAAUGUGGAGCUGAGGGCAGCCAGGUUGUGUGGUGUGGGCUCAGAGUGUUCCUAUGCAGUCCAUGUCUUUUGGAGACAUUAUGGAAAGAAAUGUUGAAAUUGUAGGCCUAAACAUUUUUCUGUUGGCAGUUAAUUUCUACUGCAUUUUGAGAUGGGGUAUAGUGUCUGUAAAUAUUUGAAAUACCUUCCCCUCUUUGGUAUGUGACUGCAGCAGACUGCCUGCCUUAUCCUGUGAGAUAAAGGCAUGCUGGCUGCAGUGGAAGAUAAUGCUUCCCAGGGAGUUUGUGUUUCAUUGCACAAUCAAUUGUCCUGCAAGGUCCUUGGGGUGUGAUUAUCUUAAGUUCCAGCUUGAAAGUGCAGUGCUGUAACUACUAAAGUAAAACUGCAAUAGAGCAGAUUUCAAGAAGUAGGCCUUUUAUAUUAAAAAGUGUAUUUUUAUUACUUUACCAUCUUCCCUGUCUGUCAAUAGUUCAGUGCAAAUUUAACCCCCAGAGAAAUGCCUGGUUUGCCUUCAGCUCCAGAGCAAGCAGAGGGAACCAGCCAAGAGCAACCACCCCACUGGAAGGGGAGCAAAAGACACCGAAGCCAAGUCUGGAAAAUGCAGCUCCUGCUGGAAUAGCUGGGUGAUCAACGGCAUCCAGGGAAAAAACGCAGCUCCAGCUCACCUCUGUCCCUGAUGGGAGGGACUUUCUGCUGGCAGAAAAUUAAUUGUCCUUCAAACUGUCAGAGCUCGAGUCCCACACUGCUGCAGCUGAAUGCAGUCCUGAAAAAUAUUUUGUUACAGUUUACUGUUACCUCUGGACUAAGGGUUAUAAUGUAUCUAGCAGUGCUGAGUUUUUGUCAGUAUGAAUGGGAUGGGAAAGAAGGGCAGUUUAAUUCCAGCCAAUGAAGUCUCAGCAGUAGUACGUCAUGUACAGACUUAUUUCACUAUCACUACCUUCACUACCACUACCCCAAAAGCACUCUAAGAAACUGUUCUUAGGCUGCAUUAGAUGCCUCUGUGCACCACAGCUUUGAAAGCCUCCUCAGGAGCAGUGCAGAUCUGGAUGCUUCUGCAUGUACAACCCCGAAUUCUUUUUGAGGCGAGAGAAGGUGGCCAGAAAUAUGCAAAUUUAAUUGCUUCAGCAUCACCUAAGUCAAUGUCUCACUAUUUAAGAAUGGUGUGUUAAGGAUAAAUGAAAUAUAAUUUAUCAAAGGGAAUUAUAUGCUUAAGGAAAGCCCAAGAUCUGGGUGUGAUAGUGUAGUAAUCAGUAAAGAAACUUCAUUUAAGAUCAGCAGCAGCCCCCCUGAUUAACUGAGGGGAAGUUUUUUAUUUUCUGUUGGCAAAAUUCAGUGAGCAAUAAGGGAGAACAACCAUUAAUUCUUAUCUGCUUCAUCUGGGAACUGGAUGAUUUUGUUCCAGCACAGACAUAACUAAUACCAAGCUUCUUCCAACUGCUGGGGGCAGGCUGUUUGUGGCAGGGUGGUUUGUGUGCAUUAACCUUCCAGUGUUUCAGGGUCUUCAGACAGAAGUUAAAAGAACCUGUGCUAUCUCAGGAGUCCAAUGUGCAAGGGAGCUGGAUAAAAGUCCUCAGCAAGACUGCACCUGUCUGGUAACCAUUUUAAGCUCAUUUCAUACAAACUUGGGGAAAAUAACAUAUUACUACCAUUGAAUGUUUCAGCAAGCACACAAGUGAGACUCAGUUUCACUGAGCAACAGCAGAAACUGAGACAGAAGCAGAAUAGCUUUUUAACUUUAUUGUAAAGACCUUUACAAUCUCAAUACAGAGAUAAGGAUAUAAAGUGAUGUUGUUUGGAAUAAUUAAGGCUGGUUGGUGGUCAUCCAAAUUUCACUGUUCAAUGGAACUCAAGCAAGAGCAACUGAUUUCUGACUGUACAUAGUUUUAUUUGUGUUCCAUCGUUACAGUGAGAUCACAAGUUAUUUCAAAGACUCAAUGCCUGUUUAUUAUAAAAUAAAGGACAUUAUUUACAUGAUGAAA